GAUAACGUAAUCGGCAAGCGGAGACGAAGGAAAAACAGAGAGCUGAAGUAAAUGACGCGUUUGGAGAAAAGGAUAAUUUAGAGACAUUUCAGGACGAUUUUAGUGAUGUACCUAGUUAAAAAUAUUGAUCCGGAAAAUUGGUUUAGAUACCUCGUACAAUCGUAAUCGGAAUCGUCCAAACGGUAGCGAAAUAGAUUGAUUAUUGUUACGGUUUUCUCGAAAUUGAAAAACUCCUAUGAUAUUAUAUAUAGUUAAAGAAACAAAUAAAUCAUAAAACCCAUACAAGGUGGUU